AUUGAACGCUGACGGCAUGCUUAACACAUGCAAGUCGAACGGCAGCACGAACUAGUUUACUAGUUGGGUGGCGAGUGGCGGACGGGUGAGUAACGCGUAGGAAUAUACCUUGAAGUGGGGGAUAACUUGGGGAAACGUCAAGCUAAUACCGCAUGAGCUCUGAGGAGGAAAGCUGGGGACCGCAAGGCCUGGCGCUUUAAGAAUAGCCUGCGUCUGAUUAGCUAGUUGGUAGGGUAAAGGCCUACCAAGGCGACGAUCAGUAGCUGGUCUGAGAGGAUGAUCAGCCACACUGGGACUGAGACACGGCCCAGACUCCUACGGGAGGCAGCAGUAGGGAAUAUUGGACAAUGGGGGCGAACCCUGAUCCAGCCAUGCCGCGUGAGUGAAGAAGGCCCUCGGGUUGUAAAGCUCUUUUGUCCGGAAGAAAAGCAAUCGGUUAAUACCCGGUUGUUCUGACGGUACCGGAAGAAUAAGCACCGGCUAACUUCGUGCCAGCAGCC
rnacentral:rRNA from 1 species